rnacentral:lncRNA from 1 species
CUCCUACCCCACCAGACAGGAAAUGGAAACUUCUGGAGAUGAAGGAGAGAGCAGAAGACCAGAAGUCAACUGUCAUCCUUUAUCAGGAACAGUCCCUACCACUACCGCCCACGGGGUUCUCAAAACACUGUCAAGGCGGCAGAAGUCAGCGAGUGGGGCUUUGGGGACACCCGCUUCCGCCCUUGCCCGACCUCCCCUCCCGCCCAGGAACUACCCGGGAACCAGGGCCUGAGCUCAGCCUGGUGCCCAGGACACAGCAGCUGUCUGAACAGCGGGAAGAGUAACCAUGAGAGAGAGAACUAACGUUAACGAGUGUCGCGUGAUGCCUGUCAACGUGCGACGUCUUUUACUUGUUCCAUUUGAUUUACUCUUCGAAAAGACUCUAGGAAAGAGUUUCUACUAUUAACAUCUAUUUACUAAAAUUAGGGAUCUAAACUCUAGGAAGCCAUGAGUAAAUGUGCGUAGGCACGAGUGAAGGACCGUCUGAAGCAACGUGUGAACACGUGAGUGACAGGGCCUGCUGGUUUCAGGGAGGAACAUGAGAGGUGGUGGGUAGGUUUAGUCUUCUGCGGCUGCUACGACACACGGUCACACACGUGCUAGCGUCCAACGACACACAUCCAUCAUCCUAUCGUUCGGUAGAGCAGAAGUCUAACGCGGGUCUCGCCGGGCUAACAUCAAGACGUCCGCGGGGCUGUAUUCCCUUCUGGAGCAGAGCUCCAGGGGAGAAGCUGUUUCCUCACCUUGUCCAGCUUCUAGAAGCCACGCACAUUCCUGGGCUCCUGGCUCCCUUCCUCCAUUUUCAAAGCCCAGCAAAACUGGGUCCAGUUCUCCUCCUUCUGCCACACUGCUAUCUUGGUUCGGGCCGCUGCUUUCAGAGACCCACCUAAAGAACGCAGCGUCCCCUCCCCACAGUACAGACAACGACCGGCCACCUCACUUCCAUCUGCAACUCUGACUCCCUCUGGCUGCAUACGGUGGCAUGUUUACAGUGUCCGAGGACAAGGACGUGGACCUCUUUGGGGACCGCUGUUCGGCCUAGGACAGUAGGUUCUUUUCAGAGGCUUUCUCCUCAUUUAGAAGAAAAUGUUUGCAAUAGGAGCAGCUGCAGCUCGUACCUAACCCCAUGGCAGGAUGUCAGAUCUCCGCUUCAAGAUUACAGGAAGACGAAGCCGAUUUGGCUCAUUUUCCUGGCAGGCUGGUGGGGAGGCAGCUGCCAUCCGACGGUCUCCUGCUGUCACCUUCGGAGGCAGACUCCCAGACAGUCCUCUGGGGGAAGGAUGA